rnacentral:rRNA from 1 species
AUUGAACGCUGGCGGCAGGCCUAACACAUGCAAGUCGAACGAGUGGCGGACGGGUGAGUAAUGUCUGGGAAACUGCCUGAUGGAGGGGGAUAACUACUGGAAACGGUAGCUAAUACCGCAUACCAUCGGAUGUGCCCAGAUGGGAUUAGCUAGUAGGUGGGGUAAAGGCUCACCUAGGCGACGAUCCCUAGCGGGUCUGAGAGGAUGACGAGCCACACGGGAACAGAGACACGGUCCAGACCACCACGGGAGGCAGCGGUGGGGAAGAGUGCAAAAGGGGCGGAAGGCUGAUGCAGGCAUGCCGCGUGUAUGAAGAAGGCCUUCGGGGUGUAAAGUACUUGCAGGGGGGAGGCGUUACACGCAGAAGAAGCACCGGCUAACUCCGUGCCAGCAGGCGCGAAUAC